rnacentral:rRNA from 1 species
GAUGAACGCUGGCGGCGUGCCUAAUACAUGCAAGUCGAGCGAACGGACGAGAAGCUUGCUUUUCUGAUGUUAGCGGCGGACGGGUGAGUAACACGUGGAUAACCUACCUAUAAGACUGGGAUAACUUCGGGAAACCGGAGCUAAUACCGGCUAAUAUUUUGAACCGCAUGGUUCAAAAGUGAAAGACGGUCUUGCUGUCACUUAAAGAUGGAUCCGCGCUGCAUUAGCUAGUUGGUAAGGUAACGGCUUACCAAGGCAACGAUGCAUAGCCGACCUGAGAGGGUGAUCGGCCACACUGGAACUGAGACACGGUCCAGACUCCUACGGGAGGCAGCAGUAGGGAAUCUUCCGCAAUGGGCGAAAGCCUGACGGAGCAACGCCGCGUGAGUGAUGAAGGUCUUCGGAUCGUAAAACUCUGUUAUUAGGGAAGAACAUAUGUGUAAGUAACUGUGCACAUCUUGACGGUACCUAAUCAGAAAGCCACGGCUAACUACGUGCCAGCAGCCGCGGUAAUACGUAGGUGGCAAGCGUUAUCCGGAAUUAUUGGGCGUAAAGCGCGCGUAGGCGGUUUUUUAAGUCUGAUGUGAAAGCCCACGGCUCAACCGUGGAGGGUCAUUGGAAACUGGAAAACUUGAGUGCAGAAGAGGAAAGUGGAAUUCCAUGUGUAGCGGUGAAAUGCGCAGAGAUGUGGAGGAACACCAGUGGCGAAGGCGACUUUCUGGUCUGUAACUGACGCUGAUGUGCGAAAGCGUGGGGAUCAAACAGGAUUAGAUACCCUGGUAGUCCACGCCGUAAACGAUGAGUGCUAAGUGUUAGGGGGUUUCCGCCCCUUAGUGCUGCAGCUAACGCAUUAAGCACUCCGCCUGGGGAGUACGACCGCAAGGUUGAAACUCAAAGGAAUUGACGGGGGCCCGCACAAGCGGUGGAGCAUGUGGUUUAAUUCGAAGCAACGCGAAGAACCUUACCAAAUCUUGACAUCCUUUGACAACUCUAGAGAUAGAGCCUUCCCCUUCGGGGGACAAAGUGACAGGUGGUGCAUGGUUGUCGUCAGCUCGUGUCGUGAGAUGUUGGGUUAAGUCCCGCAACGAGCGCAACCCUUAAGCUUAGUUGCCAUCAUUAAGUUGGGCACUCUAAGUUGACUGCCGGUGACAAACCGGAGGAAGGUGGGGAUGACGUCAAAUCAUCAUGCCCCUUAUGAUUUGGGCUACACACGUGCUACAAUGGACAAUACAAAGGGCAGCGAAACCGCGAGGUCAAGCAAAUCCCAUAAAGUUGUUCUCAGUUCGGAUUGUAGUCUGCAACUCGACUACAUGAAGCUGGAAUCGCUAGUAAUCGUAGAUCAGCAUGCUACGGUGAAUACGUUCCCGGGUCU